GCACCGGUGGUGUAUGGCACACACACCAAUCAAGUAAAAUGGAGCAGGCUGACUAAUGGUGAGCCGGGGUUCGAUUCCCCGCCGGUGCA